rnacentral:rRNA from 1 species
CAUGGAGUUUGAUCCUGGCUCAGAUUGAACGCUGGCGGAAUGCUUUACACAUGCAAGUCGAACGGUAGAGGGGGCAACCCCUUGAGAGUGGCGAACGGGUGAGUAAGUAGUAUCGGAACGUGCCCAGUCGUGGGGGAUAACGUAGUGAAAAUUACGCUAAUACCGCAUACGAUCUAAGGAUGAAAGCGGGGGAUCGCAAGACCUCGCGCGAUUGGAGCGGCCGAUAUCAGAUUAGGUAGUUGGUGGGGUAAAGGCUCACCAAGCCAACGAUCUGUAGCUGGUCUGAGAGGACGACCAGCCACACUGGGGACUGAGACACGGCCCAGACU